rnacentral:rRNA from 1 species
CAGUCGCCGCGGUAAUACAGAGGAUGCAAGCGUUAUCCGGAAUGAUUGGGCGUAAAGCGUCUGUAGGUGGCUUUUCAAGUCCGCCGUCAAAUCCCAGGGCUCAACCCUGGACAGGCGGUGGAAACUACCAAGCUGGAGUACGGUAGGGGCAGAGGGAAUUUCCAGUGGAGCGGUGAAAUGCGUUGAGAUCGAAAAGAGCACCAACAGCGAAAGCACUCUGCUGGGACGACACUGACACUAAGAGACGAAAGCUAGGGGAGCAAAUGGGAUUAGAUACCCCCGUAGUCCCUGUCUCUUAUAC